GAAUGUUCUAGUAGACUGAGUUUACUUUUAGUUGUCUUUGAUGAAACAGUCACUAUUCUACUCUCUUUCUUAACAGAAAUGUGUUUUUUCAAAGACUCACUUUUAAUUGCUUUAUUAACCAAAGAAUUCUUUUGCCCAAUUCCUUUGCUUUUCUGCUUUACAGGUGAGUCAGAGCAGGAAUGCAGGUCCUUCCCAGGUUGUUUCUUAGCAGAGUAUUUUUUGGUUUAUUCACCUGCUUUGCUCAUUUUCUCUGAAGAAGACCUGCUAUUUCUAGAUAAUUCCUCUUCUUUUCUUUGACUUCCAGUUCCAGAAAUGACGUCUGCUGAAGGGAGAACAUGUUCUAGCAAUGAAAUCUUCAAAAGACUCCUGCUGCUGCUCUGUGACUGGGACCCCCAGGUUGUCUUUGGAAGUUUCUAAGGCCUCCUGAGUAGAGACUGGGACAUGGAAGGAGUCGAGAGGCAAAGGAAGCCCAGCAUCACCUGUAAUUUUCUGAAACUGGAGGGAAAGACAAAAGACAAGACAAAAAUUCAGUGAUGAACAAAGCCAACCAUUAAAAAGUAGAGUUCAAAACGUCAAUGUUAUUCUGUGAUCUUAUUAUUAACACAGUAAUUGAUUAUUCAGAAGAUUUCAGAGCCAGUUUUUUUCUAAUUAUAUCUUGCCAAGUGAUUCUCAACUUAACCUAGCUAUAUCCAAGGCUAUGUCUGCUACAUUUUCAGACUUUGGUGAUUGGGGUAGUUAUUACCCAUUUCCUUUCCCUCACUAAAAAUGAAACCCUACUCUGUAAGAAAAUUAAUUUCUUUUCUAUCCUCCAGGCACAUGUAAACAGUAUAUAGUUUGUGACCAGACUGUGUUCUCAAGCUGUCAGUUCCCAAGACCAGUCUGAGAUUGGCUGAGGUGGGUGAAGGGGGCUCCAAGUAACGCUAGAGGAAAAGCUGACAUGUUUCCCCUCCCAUUCCCAUGACCAGACAACAGGAAGAGAAAAUAAAAAUGUAAACAAUGGGAGGAACCAAGAUGGCAGACUAGAAGGACGUGAUCUCACUCCCUCUUGCGAGGACACUGGAAUCACAACUAGCUGCUGGACGGUCAUCGACAGGAAGACACUGGAACACACCAAAAAGGAUACCCCGCAUCCAAAGACAAAGGAGAAGCCACAAUGAGACGGCACCCCAGAGAGAAGGUGUGGAACUAUUAGAAGCAACCUGGAUAUCAACCCUGCUUCUGGGAGGCAGUUCUGACUACAAGGGCAGGAGAUUCUCUGAAGCCAGCUCGAGAGAGGCUAUAUUCAUCUGUGUUGAUCACUGCUGUGUUUCCUGAACAUGCCUAUAAAACAUACUGAAGAAGGGUGCCUGAAAUUUGGGUAAAAUUGAAGCGUCCUGGCAGACAGGAGAAGUGACGGAAGGAGAGCUGCGUCUGGACCUUGGAGGAGGGCUGCGAUCUCACAGGAGAAGCAGGUGCGAGGGAGACCCUGGGGCAGCCACCGGGAGGCCAGGAGGCUGGAGUGAGCAUGCUCAGAGAGGCUGUGGUGGGAUCGUGGUCCGUGAGGAUGAGGGUGGAGGAAGUUACACAGGUGGGAUGGGGCCAGGUUUCACCUGACUCUGAAAGCCAGGCAGAAGGCAGACUAGAAACUUGAGGCUUGUGUUUCUCAAACCCCAGGCUACUCAUAAAUAUGCAGCAUCUUCCUGGAAACUCAGUGUUAUACAAAUAUUUGGGGCAACUCAUUCUUUAACUCAUGUACUAAAACAAACGUUCUGGAGUAGAAUACAAAAUUGACGUGACUUUCGUAAUAAAAUAUGCAUUUUUGAAGCCACUUUGGUUUAUGGCAGGUCCCUUGCAUGACACUGUCACACCCCCAGGGACUCUUCUCCAUAUGGGGUGUAUCACGGGACAGUUUGAGAAUUUCCUUAAGCAAUAGGAAAUGAGACCUCACUGCCCAAGGCUUUGCUCUGUGCCUGGAGCAUCUUUUCUGCCCCUGUGAGCAUCUUCUGGUCCCACUCCAAGAGCUGAUCUGACAUCUGGGCUAAUAGAGCAGAGUGACUGUGUGUCCCACGAAUAUUCGCCAAUGCCAAGAUGUGGUCCCUUAAUAUCAAGUGCUAGGACAUCUGUACGGUCCUUUGUAGGUUGAUUUGCCAUCAUACUCUCCACAGCCCUAGAAAUAAUAAUAUUACCCUGAUUUACAAAUGAGGGAAUGAUGUGCGGCAGGUUUUGUAAACAAGUUGGAUGGGUACUUUCGAGAAGACUGUAUGUCAGGACAUGGGUCCUGGCAGGCAGGGGGCCCCAGAGUCAUAUUCAUGUGUGCAGCCCUUUGAUCUGGAAGGUGCCUUCUGUCACGGUCAUCCGCCAGCUUCAUGGAAGGCAGCCGCCCUUCCUCAUUCAGUUCUCCAGCGUCUGUCAACUGGUGCAUUGCUGGACAGGAAUUCAUGACAGCGUUCAGCCCCAUGUUUCUUAUGAAGAAUUUAACUGAAGCAAACAGAAUUUAGGUGGGCAAUUUAGCCUUGGAGAUUGCUGUCUGUCCAUCUGUCUGUUUCUGUCUUUUUCUCUCUCUCUUUCAGGUUAUUGACAAUAUCAUCAUGAUUUGAAACCCCCAGAAUCACCUGCUUUUAUUUAGCAGGGUAUUGUAAAUAGUAAACUACUGUCUUCAAAGCUCAGGAAGCCCUGUCUAUUUUAAUACCAACUUUCUGAAGGCUCAUUAGUAAUUAAUGAAGUCAUUAAGAAUGGUUCACAGUGACUGACACCUUCCUGGCAACCACAAUCUCCUCUUGUACUUAGAGGAAAUGCCACUGGCUCCACAGCGCUCCAGGGAGUAAGAAGACAUGGAGUGAAGAGCUGCCUCAUUUUCCAGAGAGAAUAGGGGCACUGAGAGCUUGGAGGGACGGCGGUAGCUGUCACAGUCCUGAAUUUUUACCUCCUGGAAUCCAGGAUGGGCCCCUUCCCCACCCCGCCAGCUGGAUGAGUGAUCACAGUGGAAUAAUGAUGCCAGGAGGCUCAGAGGGCCGCUCCCACACCGGGUUGGAGGAGAGCCUUACAGGUUGUCAAUGAAACCUGGAAUUAUUUCCUUUGAUGGCUCAGGUAAUAGUAGGAGCCAAGGCAAUGAGUGAGGUCGUCUGAAACCAAUGCAGUCCUGCCCGGGACCCGGGAGCCAAUCGCAGGAGCAGAGGGCGGGGCAUCAGCGCCAGCAGAAAAUUGCUAAGUGCCUCGCUAGCACAGUUGGUCCGAGCCGCCGAAAGGUCUGGUCGCAGAGACGGGGACGCGUAAUCCUCAGCGUGCUCCAUCCCGACAGCAGCCCUCCACGGCUCGGCAGGGCAGCGAGCCUCUGGGCACCGGCCCCUCUGCUCCACGGAGAAGGUACUCCUGCUGCAUCCCGGCGGGGCUGCUCUUGCGUUUCCGUCCUCAGCGGCUUGCAGUUUAGCCUCUGUAGAGGGGUUGCAGAAAGAAAAGUUUAGGGGAGGAAAUGUGACAACGGAGGGAAAUCACCGUGUUUUGUUGGGAGGAAAACAAGCUGACGGUUUGGGAAACUUCUGUGCUGUCUAGAACUGGAUUGGUUUACUACUCUCUCAAUUAGCCGCGCUCAGGUCUGUGGAAAUAGGUCUGGUCUUGGGCUAGGGUGCCUGCCUGUUGGGGUGUAGAUUUGGAUUUGUUGGGUGAAGGGGGUUGAACCCUGGAUGUGCUGCUUCCUGGAGGGCGCAUUGCUGGGAGGCUGACUCUGGGAAGCGUGAUGGGUUGGUUGGGUUUUCCACCAUAGGGUCUUCCCCCUUGACUUUAUCCUGACCUGCUGUCCCCCAACUCUUGUGACCUUCAGUUUGAGUCCUUCCUCAAACUUCUGUCUCCUUCCUCGCCCCUCCCGCUUGCCGACUCUGUCUGCGCUCAUUUAAUGUGGUGGAAGGAGACAUUUCCUGGGGUGUGGGCGACUGUCCUGUUUGACCUGAUGGGCGUCUGCCUGUCACAUAACUUGGUGAGAAAGCAACAAAACGGUUCCCAGAGGAAAAGCCGUCACUCCACUGAUUAGCUCCCAAAAACUCUGGAAGACUGUCUGGGCUUGGUGUGUACUGAAAUAAAGGGGAUGGAGUGAAAUUGCAGCCCGUGUGAAGGUUACGCCCUCACCAGGGACAGGCCGUAGGGUGCUAAGGAAGCCCGAGGCUCUGGGUGCAUGGGGGCUGAGGGGCUGCUCGCACCGCCAUCCCUGCUGCCUGUGAUGACUGUUCUUCAAGGGAAGGGCUGGCCACGGCAGGAGGCUGGGCCAGGCUUGUAGCAUCCUUGUUCCUUUCUGAGCAGUUAGGACCACAAGGGCCCUGCUUGCUCUGAGUCCCACCGGUGGUCCUGAGGAGAAGCCCUUCUCCCCACGUUCUGCCACCCGGGAGGUAUUAGGUCAGUGGGCCUCCUAGGAAGCA